rnacentral:rRNA from 1 species
CACAGAGUUAGCCGGUGCUUAUUCUGUCGGUAACGUCAAAACAAUCACGUAUUAGGUAACUGCCCUUCCUCCCAACUUAAAGUGCUUUACAAUCCGAAGACCUUCUUCACACACGCGGCAUGGCUGGAUCAGGCUUGCGCCCAUUGUCCAAUAUUCCCCA